AAUCAGUUGGGAAGCAGUUCUGGCAGUCACUCACUCUGUUUCCUUUCCUCCACCCUUCUUCUUGUGCCACAAGCAGUCCUGGGGAAGGGGGAAGCCUCCCAAGCUCUUCUGUGUGCCCCAUUUCACCCUUGGGUGCAGGGGAAGUGGUGGGAGCUGGGACUGGCCUGGCUGGCCUGAGCUGGGAGAGCACUGUGUAUUCAGGUUUCUUCAAGCAGGUCAGACAUGGGGGUCCUCAUUUCUUCUCUGUCCUUACAACCACUGGAAAGAAUUUUCUACAAAUAGUGCGGAUGGCACCGUGUGCCUGGAUUUCUUUUUGCCCACUACCCAACUUCCAGCAGAUCUGGAGCCAGAGGAAGCAUUCCAGCCCAGUGUCAGUGGAAGGCUGGAAGAUGUAGUGUCCUCAACAUGAUUGACUGCUUGAAGCAUUCCUCAGAGAGAACUGUGCUAUGAAAAAAACCUGUUCUGGUACAAAAGGGAAAGAGUUUGCUUCUUAAUGAGAAAGACUUGCAGCCCUGCUGACUUACUCAAUUUCUUCUAAUUCACUUAAAAUACUGAAGGCAUUUAAAGUGCAUUCCUAGCUUUGAGCAGAUAAGAGGACUGAAAUCAAGGAGCCUGCUCAAAAGACUGCCUUAAGUGAGCCAAAUCUGUUUGAGUACCUCAGUGAACUAAAGGCUAAAAGAGAGAUCUUAUUUCUGAGCACAGCUAACUCUGAAUAUUGAGUAUUUCAUGAUGUCAGCACAAAAACAGAGAAAAAAAAAUUACACUUUAAUUUGAAACACAAAUAAGAAUGAGGAAGUUGUUUUUCAUACAUAUUGUUCUUCAGCAGGCAAAAAAGCAAUUGCUUUUUGUUACAAAUCCGUCUCCUGAUUUUAUUCUUAAGCAUUGUGUACUCUUCUUGUUUUUUAUAUUUUAAAACUGUCCCUCUGCUUUUUUUUUCUGGCUGUUGGACUGAGAUCUAUUGUAGAAUUUGUCUGCAGUUCUCUUGUCCAUUCCAAACAGAUGAUGUGUUGUUUAAAAUAAUGUCGAUAUUGUUACACUAUUCUUUGCUGCAGUUACAACUUUUAUAUCCUUAACCUCAUGCUUUAGGCUUGCAGAACAAUACUUACUGUGCUUGCAGCUAAAUUAGGGUAGUAGUUAGGAAAACUGUUGUGAACAGCAAUGACUCUCUGUCCUUGCUUAAGGCAACUAGGCCUGGAAAGUUCCCAAUCUGUGAAGGUCAGAUUCUCUUGUUAGGAAUACCUGGUUCCAGGCACAAAUUACUUCCAU